GUCUCCGUAGCCCAAUCGGAAGAGGCGGCCGGCUUAAAACCGGCAACGGUGCGGGUUCAAAUCCCGUCGGAGACA
rnacentral:tRNA from 2 species